AGAGUUUGAUCAUGGCUCAGGACGAACGCUGGCGGCGUGCCUAACACAUGCAAGUCGAGCGGGGAACCGUGGAAUGAAGCUUCGGCAGAAGGAAGCGGUUUCUAGCGGCGGACGGGUGAGUAACGCGUGAGCAAUCUGCCUUUCACAGGGGGAUAACACACCGAAAGGUGUACUAAUACCGCAUGAGACCACAGGAAGGACAUCUUCCAGGGGUCAAAGGAGCAAUCCGGUGAAAGAUGAGCUCGCGUCUGAUUAGCUGGUUGGUGAGGUAACGGCCCACCAAGGCGACGAUCAGUAGCCGACCUGAGAGGGUGAUCGGCCACAUUGGAACUGAGAAACGGUCCAAACUCCUACGGGAGGCAGCAGUGGGGAAUAUUGGGCAAUGGGGGAAACCCUGACCCAGCAACGCCGCGUGAAGGAAGAAGGUUUUCGGAUCGUAAACUUCUAUCCUUGGUGAAAAUGAUGAUGGUAGCCAAGAAGGAAGCCCCGGCUAACUACGUGCCAGCAGCCGCGGUAAUACGUAGGGGGCAAGCGUUGUCCGGAAUGAUUGGGCGUAAAGGGCGCGUAGGCGGCCUUUUAAGUCUGAAGUGAAAGUCCUGCUUUUAAGGUGGGAACUGCUUUGGAUACUGGAAGGCUUGAGUGCAGGAGAGGUAAGCGGAAUUCCCGGUGUAGCGGUGAAAUGCGUAGAGAUCGGGAGGAACACCAGUGGCGAAGGCGGCUUACUGGACUGUUACUGACGCUGAGGCGCGAAAGUGUGGGGAGCAAACAGGAUUAGAUACCCUGGUAGUCCACACUGUAAACGAUGAAUGCUAGGUGUAGGGGGUAUCGACCCCUUCUGUGCCGGAGUCAACACAAUAAGCAUUCCGCCUGGGGAGUACGGCCGCAAGGUUGAAACUCAAAGGAAUUGACGGGGGCCCGCACGAGCAGCGGAGCAUGUGGUUUAAUUCGAAGCAACGCGAAGAACCUUACCAGGUCUUGACAUCCAUUAAAAGCCAUAGAGAUAUGGUGUGAGCUUGCUCGUAAUGAGACAGGUGGUGCAUGGUUGUCGUCAGCUCGUGUCGUGAGAUGUUGGGUUAAGUCCCGCAACGAGCGCAACCCUUGUGAUCAGUUACUAACGGGUAAAGCCGAGGACUCUGAUAAGACUGCCGGGGACAACUCGGAGGAAGGUGGGGACGACGUCAAAUCAUCAUGCCCCUUAUGACCUGGGCUACACACGUGCUACAAUGGCCACUACAGAGAGAAGCGAAUUCGAGAGGAAGAGCGGAUCUCAAAAAAGUGGUCCCAGUUCGGAUUGUGGGCUGCAACCCGCCCACAUGAAGUCGGAGUUGCUAGUAAUCGCGGAUCAGCAUGCCGCGGUGAAUACGUUCCCGGGCCUUGUACACACCGCCCGUCACACCAUGGGAGUUGAUAGCACCCGAAGUCGGUGAGGUAACCGCAAGGAGCCAGCCGCCGAAGGUGAGAUCAAUGACUGGGGUGAAGUCGUAACAAGGUAGCCGUAUCGGAAGGUGCGGCUGGAUCACCUCCUU
rnacentral:rRNA from 1 species